rnacentral:rRNA from 1 species
AGAUUGAACGCUGGCGGCAGGCCUAACACAUGCAAGUCGAGCGGUAGAGAGGUGCUUGCAUCUCUUGAGAGCGGCGGACGGGUGAGUAAUGCCUAGGAAUCUGCCUAGUGGUGGGGGAUAACGUUCGGAAACGGACGCUAAUACCGCAUACGUCCUACGGGAGAAAGCGGGGGACCUUCGGGCCUCGCGCCAUUAGAUGAGCCUAGGUCGGAUUAGCUUAGUUGGUGAGGUAAUGGCUCACCAAAGGCGACGAUCCGUAACUGGUCUGAGAGGAUGAUCAGUCACACU